rnacentral:lncRNA from 1 species
AUGGCAGACUUUCUAACAGGUUCAUCUCCUAGCCAGAAUCAAGAAAGGAAGACACAGCAGCCACACUGUUCCCACAGAGGUGAGGUCUGGAAGGGGUCACCCAGCCCAGGAGGCUUCUGUUUGGAGUGUGGGGUCAUCCUCCUCUCAUUAUUUCCUGAACCACACGGAAAAACCUUAAGACCACAGAUGAUCACCCACAGGAAUAGGCUGCACAGCAGAAAUUGGACUGUGGCACAUCACAACAUGCUCCUUACCUCUCCUUGGAGGAUUCUGCGUCUCUGGUCUUGCAGCCAUUGGUUUCUGACUCGUGUAUCCCUCAGGCACCCUCUUUGCUUCCAUCCUGGAUGGAAUGGAUACAGAAAAAUAAUGGACUUCUAUAAGAGUUGCAACACCACGUCAUCUUCUAGACAACAAACAGUGCACGCAUCAUCCCUGAAACACCCAUAAAAACGCAAGUCAAAUGACCACACCUGUAUUUCAAAAUGCAAUCCAGGCAAAGAAGGGAUUCUUACAUUCAGUUUAAAAGCUUCAUCAGAGAGAAACUUACUUUCUCUCAUAGUUUCCUGAAGACAUUUCCUUAACUCACUGUUGUAUAAAACACGAAAAAGGAAUCAGAAUUAAAAAAAAAAAAAAAAAGCACAGUGCUAGAUAAACCUAUCUUCUAAUGUGUGACUCCUUUCACAAAUAAAGAGGUAGCUCUUUACA